rnacentral:lncRNA from 1 species
CGCACUCAAGUGAGGAAUGGGGAAGGAGGGUGGAGGAAGGAGCUUGUAAAUGAGCAGCUGGUUUGCAGCAAAACCGCACCUCACUCUGCACCUUUGGAUCCCUCUCAGCCUGAGGUUAGCACAGCCAAUGUCCUCACCAGCGUCUGCCAAAGCCCAUGGAGAAGGCCAGCAGGAGCAUAUCACUGUGACUUACAACCCUUCUCUAGUCUGCUACAAUGGAAUCUUAAACAAGAAAAUUUUAUAUUUUGACUUGCAUCAUUGAGAAAAACACUGCCAACCUGAUCGUGGUUCCUUUGAAGAGCAUGGAAGGAAGCAAUGAAAAAAGCCUCACUCCUGGUUGCACACCUGGGAUUCUGUACCUGACGGACACCAUCCAUCCUUUUAGAUGAUGCAUUGAGUCCUAACUAUUCCCUUCCCAAGAAAGUUCAAGCCAGGAGAUCAAUCUGCUUGGGAUGGAAAGAAUCACUGCAGCAGGUGCGAGAGAGGACUCAUGGAGCUUGCAGAUGAGCUAGCCCAGGUAGGACAUCUGAUGUUGGGACCCUCUUCAGAAGUGAAGCAUAUAUAAUCCCACAUGAAAUCUCUCAAGCCAUUCCAGAAGAAUGUUUUCUCAGAUAAAGGUUAUUUACCUAUUUAUAAUAAUUUAUAAUUUACAAAGCAUAUUCAUAUAUAUGAUCCCAUCUAACUCAUAAAAUUAUAUGAAAUGUAUACUAUCUCCAUUUUACAGAUGGGGAAAUUGAGCCUCAGAGUGAUAAAGUAACUUCCCCAAAGUCAUGUAGCUAGUAAAUGAAAGUGAUGAGACUCACACUAGGUUCUUCUAAGUUUUUAGAGUACUUCGUCCACGGCGCCAAGGUGUCUAGGGCAGAGACACCACAACCUCCUAAGGUAGGUUAUGCCAUUAAUGUUCCACUUGGGUGGGAAUACACACACACCCACACACACACUAUAAUUCACACUUCCUUAUAGUUAUAUUCCUCAUUCUUUGAACUUAAUCCAUGGUAAAGAAUUAUUUAUUAUGGUGGGGUAGAAGGAGACCCUUUGAGAUUUGAAGACACUGAUUAACCAUGUUAGUGUUUUUCCUCAGGCAAAAUAUUCAUGGGCUCUUUUACCAUAACUUGCUGUCCUUAUUUCCUCAUUAAAUUUCAAGUUUCCACAAAAUAAGAAAAGAAACAACUAAAGAAGAAAUUGUUGGAAGGCAUGGAGCAAAGUGUAAGAACAACUAAGUAAACAUGUACAUUUUGCAUUUUUAAAAAAUUCAGUGGCCAUAAUACCACUGGCCAACAGGCUGAUCAAAUAAUCCCUGAAACAAAGAGUUAUAUGUUACGGAGGGGAUUGAAUCAGAAUACAGAAAAGAGAGACUUGAGAGGUUAAGACAAAACAUCCUGGGAAAUACACCUAUUAAAAUAUGGUAACUAGCUGUUCUCCAUUUCUUUCAAGACAGAAUGGGAAAUGGAGGUAAACACAGCAAGAGUAUUAGUCGGUUAGACAACAGGAAUAUUUUGCUGAUUUUUGUUGUUGUUGUUUUGUUUUUGUUUUUGUUUUUGAGACAGUGUCUUGCUGCGACACCCA